GAUGACGACUGGCGCACGGGUGAGUAACGCGUAUCCAACCUUCCCAUAACUACGGGAUAACCCGUUGAAAGACGGCCUAAUACCGUAUGAUAUCGUUUGCUGACAUCAAAUAACGAUUAAAGGUUUAGCGGUUAUGGAUGGGGAUGCGUCUGAUUAGCUUGUUGGCGGGGUAACGGCCCACCAAGGCAACGAUCGGUAGGGGUUCUGAGAGGAAGGUCCCCCACAUUGGAACUGAGACACGGUCCAAACUCCUACGGGAGGCAGCAGUC
rnacentral:rRNA from 1 species